GACGAACGCUGGCGGCGUGCUUAACACAUGCAAGUCGAACGGAAAGGCCCUGCUUUUGUGGGGUGCUCGAGUGGCGAACGGGUGAGUAACACGUGAGUAACCUGCCCUUGACUUUGGGAUAACUUCAGGAAACUGGGGCUAAUACCGGAUAGGAGCUCCUGCUGCAUGGUGGGGGUUGGAAAGUUUCGGCGGUUGGAGAUGGACUCGCGGCUUAUCAGCUUGUUGGUGGGGUAGUGGCUUACCAAGGCUUUGACGGGUAGCCGGCCUGAGAGGGUGACCGGCCACAUUGGGACUGAGAUACGGCCCAGACGCCUACGGGAGGCAGUAGUGGGGAAUAUUGCACAAUGGGCGGAAGCCUGAUGCAGCAACGCCGCGUGCGGGAUGACGGCCUUCGGGUUGUAAACCGCUUUCGCCUGUGACGAAGCGUGAGUGACGGUAAUGGGUAAAGAAGCAACGGCUAACUACGUG
rnacentral:rRNA from 1 species